rnacentral:tRNA from 1 species
UAUGCUGAAAUUGGUAGACAGGUCCCGCUUAGGACGGGGUGAAAUAAUUCAUAUAAGUUCGAGUCUUAUUACCCAUAUAAAUUAUAUGUAAUAUAGUGUAUUAGUUAGAAUAUAUGCUUACUAGUUUAUGUUUAUAAUUAUUAAUAUGUAGUAGACUAAUGGUAAGUCAUAAAUUUUUGGUAUUUACUUAUGGGUGUUCGAAUCACCCCUACAUAGAAAGGUGGAUGUAGUUCAAUUGGCAGAACAACUGUAUGUGGAACAGUAAGUUCCCUGUUCGAUCCAGGGUAUCCUCCCAGUAUGCUUUAUAUUACUACAAUUAGUUUUUUUUAUAAAUAUUUUUCCUCAUAUAUCCGUUUAUAUUUUAAAACUAUUUGCAAUAAAAUUCUAUAUUUUAGAUACUUAUUUUAUAUCUUUUUUUAGAAUUUUUUUGGUUAGAACUGUUUUUUAAAGAAUUCGCUGUAUAUAUAACUACGAUUUUUAUAAAGCUGUCUAUACACUAAAAUAGCUUUGUGUAAAAUACUUAUUAGCGUAUAGACUCUAGCCCUCUAUAAGUUAGAUAAACUUUAUCUCUAGCUAAAAAUAAGUUAAAUUUAGUUUAAGCUACAACUAAACUAGAAACUAGCCGCGGCUACUUCUAACAAACAAAUAAUAAGCCAGGAUAGUUCAAUUGGUAGAACAUUAAUUUCAUGCAUUAAUAGUGGGAAUUCAAAUUUCUCUCCUGGCUAUAGGAACGAUAUUUUUUUAUUGUAAACUUAACUGACGACUUACAGCUUAGUAAACUACGUAUUAAAAAAGGCGUUUCUUUCAUCUUUUAAUAGUAUUGUUAAACUUGUGAUACAAAUGUAAAUCUUACAGCUAUUAUAUUUAGCGUUGUUGAGAUAAUGAUAGGAAAGUCCGGUGAUUAAUAUAUAGCUUUUUUAGUGGGGCAUAAGCUUGGGUAAUACACAGAGAAUUUAAUAAUAAAAACUUUUAGUCUUUUAUUAGAAGUAUGAAAUAAAAAGCCUUAAUUAAUCUUUAUUUUAGUUAAAUAUUACACACAGGAUCCGGCUUAUUUGUAUCCAAGUAAUAGCUUUUUAUAUAACAUUACAUUAGAUGAAUCAAACAUUGUUUGCGUUUAAAUGAAUUAACUGUAUGUCAGUAAUAAAUAAUUACUUUAAAGUAAUGAAACUGAAUGUUUCAUUGCUUUUUAUUGUACUAACCACCAUUCUUGUAGUAAAAAUAAUAAUUAUAAAAAUGUUUAACCACUACCUAACAAUAGCGAGUCCGCUAGAUCAAUUUGAAAUAAGAAACUUAUUCAGUAUCGAUACACCAUUAUUAGCAAAUAUGAACCUAUCUAUUACAAACAUAGGAUUAUAUAUGACAAUUGCUGCCUUUAUAGCUUUCUACUUUAGUGUUUUAGCUACUAACCAUUCAAAAAUUACUCCAAAUAGUUGAUCUUUAAGCCAAGAAACACUAUAUGCUACUAUUCAUAGUAUCGUAGUAAACCAAAUUAAUAACAAAAGUGGGCAAGCUUACUUCCCAUUUAUGUAUGCCCUAUUUAUCUUUAUUUUAAUUAAUAAUCUUAUAGGUAUGGUACCAUAUAGUUUUGCAUCAACAUCUCAUUUUAUAUUAACAUUCUCACUUAGUUUCACUGUAGUAUUAGGUGCUACUGUUUUAGGGUUCAAAGAACAUGGAUUAAAAUUCUUUUCUUUAUUCGUUCCAGCAGGUUGUCCUUUAGGAUUAUUACCACUGUUAGUUUUAAUCGAAUUUAUUUCUUACUUAGCUAGAAAUGUGUCUCUAGGACUGAGAUUAGCAGCUAACAUAUUAUCUGGUCACAUGCUUUUAAAUAUUUUAAGUGGAUUCACUUAUAAUAUUAUGAGCUCUGGUAUUAUUUUCUUCGUUUUAGGAUUAUUACCAUUAGCAUUUAUAAUAGCAUUCUCUGGAUUAGAAUUAGGUAUUGCCUUUAUCCAAUCACAAGUUUUUGUAGUUUUAUCUUGUUCAUACAUUAAAGAUGCAUUAGAAUUACAUUAGUUUUUAGUAGCUUUUUUUUAUUUAAAGCAAAAAAAAACAAAGGGGUAUGUUGCAUAGGGCUAUGCAUUUUGAUUGCAGAUCAUAAAUAUAAGGUUCAACUCCUUCGUAUCCCUUUUUUCGCUAAUAUCCUUGAGAUCUAACUUUUUGUUAACUAUUAUAAUAGUAAAAAGUAAAAAACAAAGUUUAGUCUCUUACUAGUCAAUGGAAAAAUAUCCAUCUUUCUAUGGUUAACUAAAGAUCGUAGUAUGGGAUAGCUAAAAAAAAUUAUAUUGCAACGAAAGAAAUUUUUUUACAGGUAUAACCUACGUUUUAUUACCAUACCUUAUAUCACUUACAGGUAUUAUCUACGCUUUAUUACCAUACUAUACAUAUGGUUUUGUGAAAAGUAUAAAUGAUACAUUAUCAUUUACUACGAAUUAGAAGAAUUUAUUUUUUUGUUUUAUAAAUGUUAUUAACAUCUUUACUUAUAACUCCUAUACUGGGUGUACUUGCCAUUUUAGUGAAUAGAGAGAAUGGAAUCUCUUUAACAAACAUAAAAAUCAUAGCUCUAUCCACAUCUGUUUUAAAUUUCUUCAUAUCAUUAAUAAUCUUUAUUUUAUUCGACUUUAGUACUAACCAAUUCCAAUUUGUACAAGAGUACCAUGAAAUAAGUUAUUUUGAUUUUUAUUUAGGUGUAGAUGGUUUAUCUAUAUAUUUUGUUUUAUUAACUACAAUUAUUAUUCCUAUUUCAUUGUUAUCUAAUUGAAAAUCUAUAUCUAAAGAUGUAGAAGCCUAUAUUAUGAUUAUUUUACUAUUAGAAAGCCUGUUAUUAGCUGUUUUCUUAGUAUUAGAUAUUUUACUUUUCUACAUUUUCUUUGAAAGUAUAUUACCACCUCUUUUCAUUCUAAUAGGUAUAUUUGGUUCAGAUAAUAGAGUUAAAGCGAGUUUUUACUUGUUUUUAUAUACGUUAUUAGGUUCUUUAUUUUUAUUACUUUCUAUAUUGGCAAUGUCUUCUAUUAUGAGUACUACUGAUUUUGAUACUCUUUUUAAAGGAAAUUUCCUUUAUAUAACACAACUUUUCUUAUUCUAUGGUAUUUUUAUUGCUUUUGCCGUAAAAACA